rnacentral:rRNA from 1 species
AUGCACAGUAACAUCGUGAGGGGCGGGCAGAACCCCUCGCCGCUGCCCCCUAGAGGCAUUCAAGGGCGUCAAGCAGAUCGGAGCCAUCGGAUGGGGCUCACAUAUUCAGUCCCAGCUUCACUUUGCUCCCCUUGCUGCACUGGGUCCGGCGCGGGCCAGAACCUGAGAGAUUCUUUGGUUGAAGCCAAGUCUGACAUCGUCAUUAAGAUCGGUCUCCGGAAAGGUUCUACAUCUUUUGACGAAGCAUGUGCAGCCAGGUUAACUGAGGAGAAUGAGACAUUGGGAGACAUAUGGGAGACGGUUGUGCUUUCGUUCACCUCAGGUUCUGCACAGGUUAAUUCUUCUCCGAUGUCAGUGACCCUCUGUCUGAGCCUCCUCACUGCAGUAGUGGUUUUCACCAUUGUCAUGUCCUCCAUGAUCAGCAUAGCAUCUUGA